ensembl:rRNA 5S_rRNA 5S ribosomal RNA
GCCAGCAGCCAUAUCACUCUGCAACUCACAACUGGCAACCCACUGAAGCUAAGCAGGUGUGAGCCUGGUCUGUACCUGGAUGGGAGACCUCCUUGGAAAAACUAAGGUUGCUGUUGGAA